UGAGUACACUGAUUUUCUUCUUUCUAGCAAUAAUUCAGAAAAGGUUAAAGAAGGAAAAGAAAGCAAAGAGGAAAUUGCAGGAAGCACUUGAAUUUGAGACUAAACGACGGGAGCAAGCAGAACAGACACUGAAACAAGCAGCUUCAACAGAUAGUCUCAGAGUCCUAAAUGACUCUCUGACCCCAGAGAUAGAAGCUGACCGCAGUGGGGGCAGAACAGAUGCUGAAAGGACAAUACAAGGUUCACUAGAUGCCUAUGCCUAGCUCCCAAUCCGGUUUCCCAAGAUCCCCUCAUCCCACACAAAAAGGUACCAUACAAAGAUAAUGUUUACUUUUAUAUACUGU